GCUCACUUUAUUGAGCUUUCAACCUGAUCCAUGUAGCAGAUGGUCAAUAAGUGUGCUUAAGUUAGAUGACUGUAAGAAACUGGGUGAUGAGGCACCCCAGAGGAAAUACUAAUCCGAAUCAUGAAGGCUCCAAAGAUAAGCAAGGAUAGCAAACCAUCACAGCCUAUUGACUCGAACCUCUCGACGUUGGUUAGACAAGAGGCCCGGUUACUAAACAAUGAGAAGUCACUACCUUUUUUUUUUUUCUUUUUUUGAAACAGAUCAAGAGCUUACGUACAAUAGUGUGAUGGAAAUCCAAAGAGAGGAUUUGACAUGCAAUAGACACCGAAUUAAUCAAGAGCAUAGAUACCUAAAGAUUGUCUAAGGGUUUCAAACCGUAGAUUGUCUAGAGGUUGGUAAAAAUGUCAGCUAAUUGUUUUUCAGUAGAGAUAAAUUCAAGUGAGAGCAC
rnacentral:lncRNA from 1 species